CAUCCCCUUUUACCGAGCGCAGCCACACAUGCCUAGGAGGUGGUCUAGGCGAAGUCGUCGCGCCGGGAGCCUGCCUAGGCCGGAUCGAUCCCUGCCGGUGGCCAUGGACAAGCUCGGCGCGAACCCGGCUAACUCCAGCCCGCUCACGCCGCUGGGCUUCCUGGAGAGCGCCGCCACCGUGUACGGCGACUGCCCCUCCGUCGUCUACCACGGCACCGUCUUCACCUAGUCCCAGACCUACCGCCGCUGCCUCCGCCUCGCCUCCGCCCUCGUCUCCCUCGGCGUCUCCCGCCGCGACGUCGGAUACGAGGCGCACUUCGGGGUGCCGAUGAGCGGCGCCGUGCUCAACAGCAUCAACACGCGCCUCGACGCGCGCACCGUCUCCGUCCUGCUCCGCCACUCCGGCUCCAAGCUCAUCCUCGUUGACCCUGCUCUGCUCCCGGUCCUCCACGACGCGCUCCGCCUCCUCCCGCCGGGCCACCCGGCCCCGCGCAUCGUGCUCGUCGAGGACCCCCCACGAGAAGGAGUUCCCUCCGGCGCCAGCGGCGGCUCUGCAUACGAGAGGCUCCUGGAGACGGGACCCGAGCAAUCUCAGGACACAACCGCCUAGGUGACCAUGGCCACCGGCGCGUCGCGACGACGAGCGCCCUGAAUCUCAGCUCCCACGCACGCUCCGUCGGCGGCAGCGGCGACAGGAGGGGCCGGACCUGUGUGGACGUUGUGAGGAGGAGAGGAGAAUCGCGGGUCAACGAGGAGAAACACGGGAGCCUGGCCGAAGCAGCCGUCGGAGGCCGCUCCGCUCAUGACUGGCGGCGACUUCGCCGCCGGAGCCGCUGCGCUCGCGCCGUAUGCCGCACCUGGCCACUCCACUGGUGUCGGUGUCGUCUGUGGGGGAGGGUGAGAACGAGGAGGAGGCCGCCUUCACGCUCUGCAUCGAGCUAGCUGGUACUCCUUCUGUGAGCUAGCUGGUACUGCAUUAGGAGUACUACUCCUGCUAAAUGAACCACGGAGUAUUCUGUGAAUAUUGCAAUUGCUACUGCCACUACACUUCCUAACUGAAUAUAACUGAAUUAAAUGUCAAUGACUCAAUGUGCCCAAGCUUGUGUAUCUCGAUUACUGGAUCAGAUGAUGAAAUGUGAAAAAGUAUGGUGAACGGCAUGGUGCAGUCUUUGGCCUUUCUGGAGCAGUUAAAGGAUUUAGAAUUGCUAGUGUGGUGCAUUAAUUCUUUGGCCUUGCUUUUCACUGAAGAAGUAUGGUAUUGCUGCAACCUUACAACAAGCUUUGGGAGACAGGUCCUACUACUGAUGUUGGAGAUCAGAGGUAGCUGCGGUGGUGCUUGCUGGAGAUCAGAGCGAGAUGCGCUGCUGGGAAUCGGCGAGAUGGCGAUGCACAUCCGGGAAGUUGGGUACGAGCUGCUGGGAGCCGGCGAGAAGGCGAUGCGCAGCUGGGAGGUUGGCCGGGGCGGUGGAGUUUAGCAGUUGGGGGCGCCUUCGGUGAUGCAACGGCGGCGGCGUUCGAGGGCAGGGAUCCGACGAGUUGAUGGGGCGGCGGCGUUCUGCUCGCCGUGGCCGGCGACAACGGUUGGGCGGCGCAUCUAGAGGCCCAGCGGCCCGCGUGCUAGGGCGGCGGCGCUCUGACGCUUGGCCGGCGGGGAGUAGGCCGCGGUGACCAGAGGCUCGACGCGAUGGGGCUCCAAGCCGGUGCAGUCCAGCGUUUUUGUUCCCAUGAUUAGGUACUGGGUGAUUGAUUAGCUAAUGGGUUUGCUGUAUCAUGCGUGGGGCGCCGGCUCACUCGAUUUGGGCCGCCUCUUGGAGAUGGAUGCUCGAUGGCGUCGAUGUGCUGCAGCGGGUGGGGGAGAAGAAUGCGCAAACGGACGUUAGGGACUGUUAGCCGAUCCAACGGUGUUGAUAUGCAUCCAACGGUGUUGAACGCGUGCUCACGUAUACACUCAGUCACCAAAUCCACUCUCCAGCCAAUGAGAACCUGACCAGAAAAUAAAACGACAAUGCAUUGCACCUUGUGCAUACAUUUUCGCUGUUGACAGUUCACCUCACGGAAAGAAGAAGCAAACCAAGGAAUUGUUUCCCCCAAAUGAGCCAUCGCCUUUGAUCAGGUAAAAAGGGAAAAACAACUGCAGAAUCAGCUGGAUGGUCUAUAGUAAAAUAGCUAUCAAUGGUGCUAAGUAAUUUCCUUUGCAAUAGAAACGGCGUCACCAACUGCCACCUAUCCUGAAGACCCACCUAUAGAAUUUUGUGUUUUGUCUGCUGCCGUAGUCACUGCAUCGUUGAGAUUGUCAUGUCAGCUAUUAUGUUAAUAUGUUAUCCACCUUAUCUGUCCUUAUGCAAAGAACUUCCUGCCAGUCCUAUACAAGACUACCAGCUACUGCAAUGUUAAGUCCCUGUCAUGAUGCGUCGAUGCACUU